UCGGGUAUGGUGUAACGGCUAACAUUGCCGCCUCUCAUGCAAAUUAUACACCGACAUCGCGGCAGCUCGGGGUUCGAUUCCCCGUACCCGAA